rnacentral:rRNA from 1 species
AGAGUUUGAUCAUGGCUCAGGACGAACGCUGGCGGCGUGCUUAACACAUGCAAGUUGAACGGGAUUCGCUCUAUGAAGUGUAACAGCGAAUUAGGGUGAUGAGAGUAGCGGACGGGCGAGUAACGCGUGAGUAACCUGCCCUUUGCAGGGGGAUAACAUCGGGAAACCGGUGCUAAUACCGCAUAAGACCACAGUGCCCCAUGGCACAGCGGUCAAAGCUGAGGCGGCAAAGGAUGGACUCGCGUCCAAUUAGCUGGUUGGUGAGGUAACGGCCCACCAAGGCGACGAUUGGUAUCCGAACUGAGAGGUUGAUCGGACGCAUUGGGACUGAGACACGGCCCAGACUCCUACGGGAGGCAGCAGUGGGGAAUAUUGCGCAAUGGAGGAAACUCUGACGCAGCAACGCCGCGUGAAGGAUGAAGGCUUUCGGGUUGUAAACUUCUUUGAUCGGGGACGAAGAUGACGGUACCCGAGGAACAAGCCACGGCUAACUACGUGCCAGCAGCCGCGGUAAUACGUAGGUGGCAAGCGUUGUCCGGAAUUACUGGGUGUAAAGGGCGUGUAGGCGGGGCGGCAAGUCAGAUGUGAAAUACCGUGGCUUAACUGCGGGGGUGCAUCUGAAACUGCUGCUCUUGAGUGUCGGAGAGGAAAGUGGAAUUCCCAGUGUAGCGGUGAAAUGCGUAGAGAUUGGGAGGAACACCAGUGGCGAAGGCGGCUUUCUGGACGAUAACUGACGCUGAGGCGCGAAAGCGUGGGUAGCAAACAGGAUUAGAUACCCUGGUAGUCCACGCCGUAAACGAUGGAUACUAGGUGUAGGAGGUAUCGACCCCUUCUGUGCCGCAGUUAACACAAUAAGUAUCCCACCUGGGGAGUACGGCCGCAAGGUUGAAACUUAAAUGAAUUGACGG